UAGGGAAUCUUCGGCAAUGGGGGGAACCCUGACCGAGCAACGCCGCGUGAGUGAAGAAGGUUUUCGGAUCGUAAAGCUCUGUUGUUAAGGAAGAACGAGUGUGAGAAUGGAAAGUUCAUACUGUGACGGUACUUAACCAGAAAGGGACGGCUAACUACGUGCCAGCAGCCGCGGUAAUACGUAGGUCCCGAGCGUUGUCCGGAUUUAUUGGGCGUAAAGCGAGCGCAGGCGGUUAGAUAAGUCUGAAGUUAAAGGCAGUGGCUCAACCAUUGUAGGCUUUGGAAACUGUUUAACUUGAGUGCAGAAGGGGAGAGUGGAAUUCCAUGUGUAACGGUGAAAUGCGUAGAUAUAUGGAGGAACACCGGUGGCGAAAGCGGUUCUCUGGUCUGUAACUGACGCUGAGGCUCGAAAGCGUGGGGAGCGAACAGG
rnacentral:rRNA from 1 species